GACGAACGCUGGCGGCGUGCUUAACACAUGCAAGUCGAACGGAAAGGCCUGCUUUCCCUUGUGGAUUGCGGGUACUCGAGUGGCGAACGGGUGAGUAACACGUGAGUGAUCUGCCCCCAACUUGGGUAUAAGCCUGGGAAACUGGGUCUAAUUCCCGAUAGGACUGCAGGGUGGUGCCUGUGGUGGAAAACGAUUUUCUAGUGGUUGGGGAUGAGCUCGCGGCCUAUCAGCUUGUUGGUGGGGUAAUGGCCUACCAAGGCGGCGACGGGUAGCCGGCCUGGGAGGGUGGACGGCGACAUUGGGACUGAGAUACGGCCCAGACUCCUACGGGAGGCAGCAGUGGGGAAGAAUGCACAAUGGGCGGAAGCCUGAUGCAGCGACGCCGCGUGGGGGAUGACGGCCUUCGGGUUGUAAACUCCUUUCGACCGCGAGGAAGCCACCUGGUUGGAAGGGUGGUGACGGUAGUGGUAGAAGAAGCACCGGCUAACUACGUG
rnacentral:rRNA from 1 species